rnacentral:rRNA from 1 species
UUUCUCCGCCGGCGACCGGCGCACGGGUGAGUAACACGUAUGCAACCUGCCCCCUGUCAGGGGGACAACCCGCCGAAAGGCGGGCUAAACCCGCGUACAUGCCACCGGGGCAUCCCGGAGGCAGGAAAGGCUUCGGCCGGACAGGGAUGGGCAUGCGGCGCAUUAGGCAGUAGGCGGGGUAACGGCCCACCUAACCGACGAUGCGUAGGGGUUCUGAGAGGAAGGUCCCCCACACUGGUACUGAGACACGGACCAGACUCCUACGGAAGGCAGCAG